rnacentral:lncRNA from 1 species
UUUUUCACACGUUGACCUGCCGCAAAUUAGUUAAUCACAGGCUAAUGAGUUUUACAGUGUUGACAAGCAAAAUCUAUGAUCUAAAUGCGUUCAGUUCGAAGUUUUGAUCCAAAAUUAAAUACUGUAAAAGAUACGCAGAUUACAGUUUGAGUGUAAAAUCACCUGCAAACACCGAGACGUAUUGUUGAUUUUCUUACCAAACUUUCAAGAAAUCGACUGACUCCGACCCUCGGCUAUCAAAAGUGUUGUGUUUCAACGGCACAAACCUUCAACGGGAACUGUUGGGCGGCUUUCAUAUCAACCAUCCCCUUAUUUUGCAAAAGUUUGGGGAUACUGCUUUGAAUUGAAUGCAAGGCGAAUAAAGAAUAAAAAAAGAACAAAAAGUCAGUUAAAGUAAUUACUUGUAGUCGGAGGUGUGGGUCCGCACACAUUGUUCUGUAAUGGAAGGACAACAACAACUUCUUUCAGAAGAAACGACUGGAUAUAAAGGUAUAGAAGCACCCAAUCUAAUUCGAAAAGACAUCACAUCAAAUGAAGUGGAGUCUACAGAACAAGAUGUGAAACUAAAUGAAGAAAAAAAUAUCAUCUUAAAUGGCGAAGAAGCUAGCUCCAGUGAAACAAAACAAGAUGGCGAGAUUCACGUCAAAAUUGAACCUGAAGAUCAUGCACAAGAGGAGAAAAAAUCUAACAA